rnacentral:rRNA from 1 species
CCUACGGGAGGCAGCAGUGGGGAAUAUUGGACAAUGGGCGAAAGCCUGAUCCAGCAAUGCCGCGUGAGUGAUGAAGGCCUUAGGGUUGUAAAGCUCUUUUACCAGGGAUGAUAAUGACAGUACCUGGAGAAUAAGCUCCGGCUAACUCCGUGCCAGCAGCCGCGGUAAUACGGAGGGAGCUAGCGUUGUUCGGAAUUACUGGGCGUAAAGCGUACGUAGGCGGUUAUUCAAGUCAGAGGUGAAAGCCUGGAGCUCAACUCCAGAACUGCCUUUGAAACUAGAUAGCUAGAAUCUUGGAGAGGUGAGUGGAAUUCCGAGUGUAGAGGUGAAAUUCGUAGAUAUUCGGAAGAACACCAGUGGCGAAGGCGACUCACUGGACAAGUACUUGACGCUGAGGUACGAAAGCGUGGGGAGCAAACAGGAUUAGAUACCCUGGUAGUCCACGCCGUAAACGAUGAUAACUAGCUGUUCGGGCUCUACGAGCUUGAGUGGCGCAGCUAACGCAUUAAGUUAUCCGCCUGGGGAGUACGGUCGCAAGNUUAAAACCUUAAAGGAAUUGACGG